AAAUAUUUAAAUGGUCAUCAAAUUACCAUCGUCCUCUAAACUAAUAGAACCAGUUAGCUCUUUUACGAGUGAAUUAUGAAUCACCUUGCAGCGCACAAUUUGGGAAGUACUGGUAUGCAUGGUAGAUAAGUUCAUAGCUUGUGGGAAAGAGGGGACAUUGAAAGAGCCGUCCGGUAGUAUAGGUGGCGAACUUGGACAAGUCGGCAAUUGAUUAGGUGUAUCGGCUGCUAUCAGUACUACUAUGGGCUUUGAGUCAAUCAUUUCGAAAGGCUAAUGUGAGAUAGCGCAAUUAGCCAAUUGAUUGUUUUGCGGUUCGGGAGUAAACCGUUCUAUUGAGCGAUAGGUAAGGUACUCACCAGAAUAUGAACGCAAUGUGUGCAGAUUAGACCUAUUAUCACCGUACCGAUGGCACCGAAAAGGAGACCAGCGUUUUUGAAGGC